UACGUAGGGUGCGAGCGUUGUCCGGAAUUAUUGGGCGUAAAGGGCUCGUAGGCGGUCUGUCGCGUCGAAAGUGAAAACCCAGGGCUUAACCCUGGGCCUGCUUCCGAUACGGGCAGACUAGAGGUAUGCAGGGGAGAACGGAAUUCCUGGUGUAGCGGUGAAAUGCGCAGAUAUCAGGAGGAACACCGGUGGCGAAGGCGGCCAUCUGGACGACAACUGACGCUGAGGCGCGAAAGCGUGGGGAUCAAACAGG
rnacentral:rRNA from 1 species